rnacentral:rRNA from 1 species
UGAACGCUGGCGGCGUGCUUAACACAUGCAAGUCGAACGAUGAAGCCUAGCUUGCUAGGUGGAUUAGUGGCGCACGGGUGAGUAAUAUAUAGAUAACGUGCCUCUUAGUCUGGGAUAGCCAUUGGAAACGAUGAUUAAUACUAGAUACUCCUUCUCAUUAUAAUUUGAGUCGGGAAAGUUUUUCGCUAAGAGAUCGGUCUAUAUCCCAUCAGCUUGUUGGUAGUGUAAGAGACUACCAAGGCUAUGACGGGUAGCGGGUUUGAGAGGAUGAUCCGCCACACUGGUACUGAGACACGGACCAGACUCCUACGGGAGGCAGCAGUGAGGAAUAUUGCACAAUGGGGGAAACCCUGAUGCAGCAACGCCGCGUGGAGGAUGACGCAUUUCGGUGUGUAAACUCCUUUUAUAUGUCAAGAAAAUGACGGUAGCAUAUGAAUAAGCACCGGCUAACUCC